rnacentral:rRNA from 1 species
AUGAACGCUAGCGACAGGCCUAACACAUGCAAGUCAGGGGCGAGCACAAGGAGCAAUCUGAGGUGGCGACCGGCGCACGGGUGAGUAACACGUAUGCAACCUGCCUGUAAGCGGGGAAUAACCCGUUGAAAGACGGACUAAUACCGCAUAAUACUAAAUUAACUGCAUGGUAAUUUAUUUAAACAUUUAUGGCUUACAGAUGGGCAUGCGCAUGAUUAGCUAGUUGGAGAGGUAACGGCUCCCCAACGGCAACGAUCAUUAGGGGUUCGUGAGAGGAAGGUCCCCACCACUGGUACUGAGACACGGACCAGACUCCUACGGGAGGCAGCAGUGAGGAAUAUUGGUCAAUGGACGAGAGUCUGAACCAGCCAAGUCGCGUGCAGGAAGAAUGUCCUUAAUGGAUUGUAAGCUGCUUUUGCAGGGGAAUAAAGUGCAUCACGUGUGAUGUUUUGUAUGUACUCUGCGAAUAAGGAUCGGCUAACUCCGUGCCAGCCGCGGC